rnacentral:rRNA from 1 species
AGUGAACGCUGGCGGUAGGCCUAACACAUGCAAGUCGAACGGCAGCACAGUAAGAGCUUGCUCUUACGGGUGGCGAGUGGCGGACGGGUGAGGAAUACAUCGGAAUCUACUUUUUCGUGGGGGAUAACGUAGGGAAACUUACGCUAAUACCGCAUACGACCUACGGGUGAAAGCAGGGGAUCUUCGGACCUUGCGCGAUUGAAUGAGCCGAUGUCGGAUUAGCUAGUUGGCGGGGUAAAGGCCCACCAAGGCGACGAUCCGUAGCUGGUCUGAGAGGAUGGUCAGCCACACUGGAACUGAGACACGGUCCAGACGCCUAAGGGAGGCAGCAGUGGGGAAUAUUGGACAAUGGGCGCAAGCAUGAUCCAGCCAUACCGCGUGGGUGAAGAAGGCCUUCGGGUUGUAAAGCCCUUUUGUUGGGAAAGAAAAGCAGCAGGUUAAGACCCCGCUGUUCUGACGGUACCCAAAGAAUAAGCACCGGCUAACUUCGUG